AUGUGCUCUUCGAUCAGCUUUAUGACUCAGCAGCCCCCUACAUAUACUUGCAUAGUUAUCUUUGGUUCCACCACAGCAGCAUGCCACCGGUCUCUGAAAAAACAUUUUUUUAGGCACACGACAACCUUGUCACCGUUGAAUCUCUUGAUUCAUCACUCACAAACCUUGUCUCUCUCUCUACUUCAUUACUUUUGGUUUUGGAUAAUGAAAUCUUGUCUGGUAACCACAUCUAGUUGGCCAGUGCAAUGUCAUUGUCCACGUUGUUCGUCGAAAACCGUCACCAGAAGGGACUGGAAUUAA
rnacentral:rRNA from 1 species